GAUGAACGCUGGCGGCGUGCCUAAUACAUGCUAGUCGAGCGAACGGACGAGAAGCUUGCUUCUCUGAUGUUAGCGGCGGACGGGUGAGUAACACGUGGAUAACCUACCUAUAAGACUGGGAUAACUUCGGGAAACCGGAGCUAAUACCGGAUAAUAUUUUGAACCGCAUGGUUCAAAAGUGAAAGACGGUCUUGCUGUCACUUAUAGAUGGAUCCGCGCUGCAUUAGCUAGUUGGUAAGGCAACGGCUUACCAAGGCAACGAUGCAUAGCCGACCUGAGAGGGUGAUCGGCCACACUGGAACUGAGACACGGUCCAGACUCCUACGGGAGACAGCAAUAGGGAAUCUUCCGCAAUGGGCGAAAGCCUGACGGAGCAACGCCGCGUGAGUGAUGAAGGUCUUCGGAUCGUAAAACUCUGUUAUUAGGGAAGAACAUAUGUGUAAGUAACUGUGCACAUCUUGACGGUACCUAAUCAGAAAGCCACGGCUAACUACGUG
rnacentral:rRNA from 1 species